rnacentral:rRNA from 1 species
UACGUAGGGUGCGAGCGUUAAUCGGAAUUACUGGGCGUAAAGCGUGCGUAGGCGGUUCGCUGUGUCCGAUGUGAAAGCCCCGGGCUUAACCGAGGAACUGCGUCCGAUACUGGAUGGCUUGAGGUUGGGAGAGGGAUGCGGAAUUCCAGGUGUAGCGGUGAAAUGCGUAGAUAUCUGGAGGAACACCGGUGGCGAAGGCGGCAUCCUGGACCAAUUCUGACGCUGAGUGAGCGAAAGCCAGGGGAGCAAACGGG